GUUCUGUCAAGUAUAUUGAUGACGGAGCUCCGGUACCGGCAGUCAGUUCAGUCCGGCAGCCGGGAUGGCGGAGGUUUUCCCAGGUAUCCCCGAGGUGGAUAUCGACAUGGACGGUACAUAUAAAUACGUGUUAAUCAAUAUCGUCAUCAUCAAUACAGAACCGCUUCAACCAAAGAGCAUCGUGCGGGGCUACCGCUGGGCACAGAACCACGGUGAGAGAACUACGGGGGGGGGGACACUAUGGGGGGGAGAGACAAAAUCACAGGCUGAGGGGCCACUAUGGGACUGGGGGGACACCUGGGCAUGGGAGAGCCGGGGACCACAGGGGCGGAGGGGGACACCUGGACUGGGACACCAUGGACUGGGGACACCAUGGGAGAGCCGGGGACCACAUAGAGUGAGGGACACACACACACACACCUAUGGGACUGGGACACCUGGGACCGGGGUAAUGCACUAUGGGAGAGCCGGGGGACUGGGCGAGGGGGACACUAUGGGACUGGGGACCCUGGGGGACACUCAUGGGGGAGAACUAGCAGGGAGAACGCUAUGGGGGGAGAACGCCAUGGGACGGGGAGAACUGCAGGGGGACACUCAUGGGAGGAGGGGAGGGACUACAGGGGGUAACACCAUGGGACAAGGGAGGAGAGACGCUAUGGGGAGAACUGCAGGGGGCACCAAGGGGACGGGAGGGGGGAGAACACCAUGGAGUGGGGGGCAGAGAACACAUGGGACAGGGGCAGAGAAACACCAUGGGACAGGGGGACACUAAGGACUGGGGGGACACCAUGGGAGGGACACCAAGGGACUGGGGAGAACCACAGGGAGAACGCCAUGGGAGGGGGAGAACACCAUGGGACGGGGAGAACUGGCAGGGGGGACACCACAGUGGGAGUGGAGGGGAACUACAGGGGGUAAACACCCAUGGGACAAGGGAGGGAGAGACGCUAUGGACCGGGGAGAACUGCAGGGGGGGGCACCCAAGGGACGGGAGGGGGGAGAACACUCAUGGAGAGGUGGGGGGCAGAGAACACUAUGGGACAGGGGAGAGGGGGCAGAGAAAUCACUCAUGGGACGGGGAGAGAACACUCAUGGGGGAGGGGGAGAACACUAUGGACAGGGGGGGGGAGAGGAACAUUAAGCUUGGGGACCACUAAAAAAAGAAGGGAAGUUUUUCAUAUUAGAUUAAUUACAUUGAUUAAAAUGUCUAAUAUUAAAUUAUAGGGAAAAAACUUUUUACAAAUAUUUUGGGGAAAAGUCAUUUUCGGCAAAGGGCAUCUUGAAUUUUCAUUUCGGUGCAUCCCUAGUAUUUUUUUAUAUUGAUAUACUCCAAUAGAUACAGACACACACACUGUUGCAGACGCGCGUGCACACACACCUAGAAAUAUUUUUAGCUACCCUCCUGUUUCCUACCUUGGGCGCAGGAGGGUGGCUUCCCUGGGAUCCAGUGGGUGUGAGUGGCAGCAGGUGACAGUAGGGCUUGCUGCAGCUGAUGGGAGUUGGCUGCCACUGGUCCAGACGCCUCCUGUCGCCAUCUCUGUGCACCAGAAGGAAGUAAAGGGAACUGUGAUUACUCCCUCCAAGAGCUGAGGCCUGGCAUGCAGCAAGCAGAGUCAUCUUUACCUGGUGCCCUGCCCAUCAGCCAUUCCCCUAUGCGGGUGGAAGUAAUAACAAUUCCGUUCACUUCCUCCCGGUAUACCGUCGCAGAAAGGAGGAGACCACCAAUCCCCAGCGCCAGGUCAAAAAUCCCAUUGUUUUCACAUGGACAGAAUCAGAAUAUGGAGCCACUGUGGAUAUGGGAAUUCUAAAGUAGAGCAGGUCUUGCAGAAUAUGGUUUUGUUUCUAUUAAAGGAACACUAUAGCUCUGGUGCCCCUCUUCCCCCCCCCCCCCAUGUCUCCCAUAAAGAGUGUCAAAAUAAAGCCUUUUCCGCCUCACUUCCCAAAUCAUCCUCAAGAAAGCUUUGCUGCUUCCAUUGCAGGUUCAAUCCAUUACUCCUCAGAGUAUUAGGGACCUGAUGUACCAGCAUGAGCGCAGCACACGCCCAAUUCUCAUAGGAACGCAGUGAGGUUAAUUCCUUCUUAUGAGUUGCAAUGUCACAUGACCAGAUUUGACUUGGUCCGUGCAGUGGAGGCGCCUCUGGCUUUAAUACAUUGUAGUUAAAGGAACACUUUAGUGUUUGGAUUACAAGGAUGUCUUCAAUGUAUUGUUUACAAAGAUGAAUUCAUAACACUGUAGUAUUCCUCUGCCUUCGUGCCCUCCCAGUGUUAAAAACAAAAGACCUUUCUUUCACUUUCCUGACUCCAGCGCCGAUAUCCCUCGGCGUUGGAUCACGUUCUUCCUCCGUUGUUGUCAGCUGAUGGGAGGAACCUAAUGUAAUGAAACUGCAAGAAGCGCCUCCAGUAACUGUCUGAUAGAAAGACACUAAAGACAGUUUCUCUAAAUGUUUUAAAUUACAGGGUUAACCCCUUUGCGCAUUAUGGCGUUCUAUGCCGUCUCCAAUGUAAUGGGCUUUAAAGCUGUAGCGACGGCAUAGAACGUCAUAACCGCUUUCAGCUCUGGAGUGUCUGGGAUAAUUACGCCCAGGCAGGCCCCUGCUAGUCAUGUGAUCGCUCUCACAAAGCAAUCACCUGAUGCUGAAAAAAUAAGUCCUAGAAAGAUAUAUAUAUGAAAAGACAGUCAAAUUCUAGGUUUUUAUUUGAUACGUACACAAUUGCCGCCGUCCUUAAGAGGUUAAGGAAACAGGGACACUGCAGCCAGACCACUUCAAUGAGAUGAAGUGGUCUGGGUGCCUAUAGUGUCCCUUUUACUAUGAAACUGCAAUGUUUUAAGUCGUAGGGUUAAAGUGACAGGACCAAUGCACCCAGACCACUUCAUUGACCUGGUCCUUUAAAGAAUGUUCUUUGUGUGUCUCUCUGACCAUUGUUGGUUUCGGGGUAUAACAUUCUGUAACUCACCCACAUUCUGAUGCAGAUUCUUUGCUUUACUGCAGCGGAUAUCUACGACAAGGUGGCGGGCGAAAUCGAGAAGAAUAAUGUGUACGACUGUGAAUGUCUUGGAGGAGGGAGAAUCAGUCAUUCGAGCAAGGACAAGAAAAUCCACAUCUACGGAUACUCUCUGGUGAAUAGCCAACUCGUCUUAAAUAUAAAUGGCUUUAUAUUCAAUAACUCACUGAGAUAGUAUCACAAGAAAUGUAUAACGGGCUUCACCUUUGUGCAUUUUGCUGCAGUGUGAAGCUCUGUAUUCUAGUGAAAGCAGUGAGCUGGGAGAAAGAAUGUGAAUUAAAACUGUAUUCUUAUUUAUUUAAAUUUUUUGGGUUUAGUAUUUUUUUGUAGAAUUCCCUUUGUGGUCAAUGACGGCAUCUAGAUAUUUGUAAACCUCUUCAACUUAAAGUUCACAUGUCCAUAAAUCACAUUCCAGUCACUAUAGAUUUAAUCUGUAUAUUGUCAGAAUAUGUAUGGAUUAAAGGGUGGUGCCAAGCACCAUAACAACUUUAGUUAUUUGAAGUGGUCAUGGUGCCUGAAGUCUGUAUGUACAGGGUUUUGUGGUAAAGUUUGCAGGUAGACUUUUGAGUCCCUUGCUGUUUAGUAAAUAGACCCCAUUCAGUAAAAACAAUUUAUAGAUCUACUUUAUUUGUACUAUAACAUGGGACUGUUCUGUUAAGACAAAAUCUCAUUUAAGGGCAUUGCAUUCUUGUCUUGCAGAGUUACGGACCAGCAGAUCACGCUUUGACUCAGAAAAAAAUCCAAGCCAAAUAUACGGAUUAUACAGUGACCUGGUCAGUUGUUUGAUAUUAAAUGUGCCAAACCACGAAAGCCGAUCUCUCAUUCAGAGGAACAAAAUUCACCUGGUGGCAAAUAUAACACAGGUCCUGUAUAUACAUCUUCUGGCCACAAGGGGCAGUGUGAUGUUAUAUAGACCGUAUCUUGGUAUGCAGGGAGUGUGAGCUGAUGGGUAUUGUGCCGUAGACUCAGAAUUAAGGUUUUCAUUUUGCUUUUGCCUUAUGUGAGACAUUUGAUUGAGGCUACUUAUACUGCCGUUAAUGGUGCUUCAGAGGCGCCCUGCUUCAGCAUUAAAUCACGUUUCCCAUGAUGCUUGUGGACUGCACUCACUUAUGGAGAUGUCGCGAACGGUUCGCCGCGAACUCCGGUCAGCUGACACAUCCC